UCUCUUCCCCUCCCGUCUCUUCCUCUCGUCAUCGCUCUCCCUCUCCCGACGCACGCGCAGGGCAACGACAACGGGCGCGGCACGCGGUGGCGGCCACCGCCCUCCUCGUCCUCCUCGUCGCUGUCCUCCUCCUCCUCUCGCUCUGUCCCCUUCUAUCCCGAGGAGGCGGCAGGCGCUAGGUGAAGACACGCCGGUGUGGUCCUCCACCAUCCUCCGUGCGAGCUCCUGACGGCCAGGGCAGCGGCGCAGCCAUCCGGACGGGCUCCCGGCAUUCCUUGCAUCGUCCUCUCCUCGAUUGUGUCCAUCCUGUCUCUCCUUAACUCUUCCUAUGCUCAAUGAAACCCUACAUGGUUGCCCUCAUCUUUUUGCUACAAGUUGAAUCCAUAUUUUUUUUUACGAAGUGUGGUUACCUAAUGCUUAGAUCUACAUGAGCUCUUAGUUCUUAGGUACCCAUUUGCUUCAUCGAACUUGCUGCUUGCUUUGAGUGUGUUUUAUUUUGGGUGGGUUAUUUAAUUUUUUAUACUCCAUAUGUACAACAGGGUUGGGUGCAUUUUUUUGUUAAUAGCUCGAUUCAUAUAGUUUGGUCGAAUUUAUCAGGCCUAAUUGAUUGUUGCUCUUUUUUGUAUGUUCAGAACUAUGUUCAUGCUGAUUCAGAUUGAUCUAUUACAGUUCCACCUUCAGUUAAAGGCCAUCUACACAGUGUUUACUAAAGUUCCUUUUUGCUUUAUGGCCACCUUAACCAUGAUAUCUUAAUAAAGUUGUAAAUAGCUUGCACCUUAACUUACAGAAACUUCUUCCCUUUUACUGUAGAAGCCCCUCACAGAAAUUGUUCCAUUUUCGUUUUCAGGUUAUUAAUUCUUGAUGAAGUAAUGUGCGUCAUGUCACCCUGAUAUCUGUGACAUUUGGAAGAUAGAAGAUAAUAUUCUAAUGGUUCAUAUUCAUGGGCUAUAAGUGGUCUCAGGUACAGCCCCUGGCAUAUAAUGCUUGCUCAUAUUUGUUCAAGUUUUUCAAUGUGACAAUCAAGUUAUACAGAGUAUGCAACCUUUUCAAAGUGACUGUGAGGUUACAUGGAGUAUUGGCUGUAGGUUUGCAUUGCUAUAAUAUACAUAUGUCAAGAUUUCCUGCCUAUUCAUGUAUCCAACCUUUGGAAUUUCAUAUUCCCAUUUUUUCACUAUUAUCAUAUAUGUGCCAUGAUCUGCACGUGAUCUUACCGCUGAGGCAAGCCAUCAGGGGCCCGUCGACACCAACAAACGAUUUGUAAGAGCACUAACUAACAGUGAUGAUGUCCUGCUGCAUUGUGUAUUGUAUUCAGGCCUGAAGAUGAAUGGAUCAAUUAAGUGAUUAACUAGAGGUUUCACAUCAUUUUCAUGCAUCCAAACUGUUAUUUGUGCCUAGAAAAUUUUGUUUCAUAUUCUAUAGAUUUUGCACUGUAGCUCUUACGAAUUAGAGUGAAAUAUCAUAUGACAACUAAUAUGUGUCAUUUCUAUGCAAGACUCCUUGGACAAAAUGGCCACAAACAGAGAAGGGCAACAUAAUUCCAUAGUAUCUAGAAUCCAGGUGAAAGGUUCAUGUUCGUACUUAGCGAUUAGUACUGAACAUUUUCUUCUUGCACUCCGCCAAAAAUAUAGGUAUAACAGAUCAGUACCUCUACUUUUAUUGUGCAGUAAGAAGGCUUCUAAGUAUCUCAGGUUUAAAGAAAAUGGAAUUGUACCACCAUAAGAUGUGCACUUAAAAAGGUAACCCUACUACAUUGAGCUGCCAUGAUUCUAGGAUGUGACCAAUUUUGGCCUGUUUUUAGUCACUUUCACUUGCUAAACGUUCAGUCACUACAUAACUUAACAUUUAUUAUACAAAUUUCAUUUCCAAAGCCUUACACGACUAUCAAAAUGAUCUGAUGACCUGCCGUUGUGUUCAGCUUAAUUACUUUUAAUAAAUAAAAAUUAUCUUUUAUUUAGUGUGCUACCUCGCAUCACCAUGCAAUUUAGUGUUAAGCCAUGAAGCAUUGUUGUAUGCAAUUGUUCCCUCGCCUCACAGUAUUUAUAGAUGACCUUCCAAGAAUAUAUUGUUGUUCGACACACUUAUAUCUGCUAUUUUUGGACAUAACAGUCAUGUAACUUCAAGCUUUUAUGAUCCUCGUAUCUUAAUCAACAAUAGGAUACAAAGCCAUGUAAUAAGCAUUGAUCUGCAAGUCGUAUGUUUACUGAACGGUCCUUAAGUUCAAUAAAAUGUCUACACGCAUUAUGUGUCACCAUAAAAAACCCAGGCACUGCACUUUCCUUUGUUGUGAUAUUUAGUGACAGUAUAAGUAAGUCAAUACUAAUAGUGUUUGUACAUAAUAAAUAGUGUCCUCCAUACAAAUGGAGGAAAGCUAGCAAAACAAAAUGGAGUAUGAGGGUUGGGUGCAUUUUACAUAUGGUAAUUCUUAUACCGAAAGAAGAUCUAUUAUACUAACAUAGUAGGCAGCUGUAUAUUAGAAAUUGUUGGUGGCACUGCCUUAAUACAGUUAGUAGUCCAUGUUUUUGUCUAUGGUUGUAUGUUCUCAUCCAUAAGUUCGGUUAGUAAUAAAGUUCAUGUCAUAAAGUCUGGUCAUGUCCAUUAUUUAUUAAAUAUUUUAAGCUUCUUUCUCCUUGCAGGAAUCUUUAGUACUUGGUUAAAACAAGCGUGUCCUUCCAAACCCCUUUGGACAAUUCAUGUUAUUGACAAACCAGUAUGCCGCUUACUCUAUUAUUUUUCUCUAUUUUGUCUGUCUCUCAUACACUAACACAUAGACCUCCUAAGUUUUGAUGAAUGACCAUAUUACUUUCUAGGUUCUGCUUUGUGUUUUACACAAAAAUUCUUUGUUUCCUUAGGUUCCAUGUUGGCCUUAUUUUCCUCAACCUAUUCUUAACAGAGUAAAAAUCUUAAUAGUCGAUAUAGGUAUAUGCUGUUCGGGAGCAGUAGUCCCACGAUGUUACUAUUUAAAAUCCAAUUUAUAUACUUGCUCAGGUUACACGUUCAACCAAGCCGCCCUACAGCAGACCUACCAGGUACGUUGUGCCUGAUUUUUAUGCUGUUACAUUCCUCAGAGCAAAUUUUGGUACUGGUUCAGAAAAGCUAUUUGUGGCAUAGCAGACAUUUAGCAUAUGGCAGUAAUUAAUAAUUUGUAGCAUAUUAUUUGGUCUACCAAACUAAAAUGCAGUUUUGUUACCUAAGAAAGAUGUUAGUGUGUUGGUCAACCCUACCGUCUUCAUCAUUUAUAGUACCAGGAAAAUAAGACCAACAUGUAGUUUGAUGCAUGAUGACGAGGAGUUAGUGUGUUUGUUCUUCUUGUGUUUCCUAUUGUUUUGUAGGUUGUAGAUGACCAGUUUCCCGGCCACGAGAAAUGUCAUAACUGCUGACUCCGACGCUGCUUGUGAUUCUAAAUUUUUUAAUACUUUCUUCCUCUAAACACAUGGCACUUUGUUAUGUCCUUCUAACUAUUUGCUAUGCUCAUCAUUUAUUAAGUUAUUUACAAAAUCAGUACAAUACUCAGGUUUACCUAUUUAAAAAAAAAAUCAGUCUGUACAGAUUGACAACGCACACAGUUUCUACAGAAAGUGAAGAUUGAUAAUUUGGAGUGAAGCUAACAAUUUUUUCCUGCUUUGCAUGCUUUUCUUACUGCAAAGGAUGAUACGGGAUAUCCUACAUUACACACGUCCAGAUACAUUUUACGUCAUCACCGUGUCUAUCUAAUGCAGAUCAAGGUCCAACGAGUCUAAGCACUAAGCCAAAGGCGGCAGCCGUCAGGUCUCCUCGAGCCAAUGGACCUGAUCUCCUGCUCCUAUAAAGCUAAGAAGGAUUCCAGUCCACCCCAAGAAAAAUUUAUCCUAUCAAGCUCCUCAGCCGGUUG
rnacentral:lncRNA from 1 species